UACAGAGGUCUCAAGCGUUGUUCGGAUUCAUUGGGCGUAAAGGGUGCGUAGGCGGCGCGGUAAGUCGGGUGUGAAAUCUUGGAGCUUAACUCCGAAACUGCAUUCGGAUACUGCCGUGCUUGAGGACUGGAGAGGAGACUGGAAUUUACGGUGUAGCGGUGAAAUGCGUAGAUAUCGUAAGGAAGACCAGUGGCGAAGGCGGGUCUCUGGACAGUUCCUGACGCUGAGGCACGAAGGCCAGGGGAGCAAACGGG
rnacentral:rRNA from 1 species